rnacentral:rRNA from 1 species
UACAGAGGGUGCAAGCGUUAACCGGAAUUACUGGGCGUAAAGCGUGCGUAGUCGGUUAUUUAAGUCGGAUGUGAAAUCCCCGGGCUCAACCUGGGAAUUGCAUUCGAUACUGGAUAGCUAGAGUUCGGCAGAGGGAAGUGGAAUUUCGGGUGUAGCGGUGAAAUGCGUAGAUAUCCGAAGGAACAUCAGUGGCGAAAGCGACUUCCUGGACCAGAACUGACGAUCAGGCACGAAAGCGUGGGGAGCAAACCGG